rnacentral:lncRNA from 1 species
GUAACGUUAGUUUAUUUAUUUUGUAUUUUUAGGACUAUUUCUUAAAACACAGUGAGAAAAGUGGCCUUUAAAUUAAAUUAAAGUAGAACAAAAAGCGAUCUGAGUUCACUUUGCAUUCACUUUAAUUUAAGUGAAAAGAGGUCUGACUUCAGUUCUUUUAAAGUGGACUUACUUGUGAGUAAUAACGUUCCUCUAAGUUGUAAAGUGUGGCAACCUUCUUUUUUUUUUUUUUUCCUUUUUUUUUUGUAGGUAGCAAAAUAUCCGUGCACAAAACCACACAUCAGUGGUCUUCGGAGGAAACCAGCGCACUGCUUGAGAUAUGGUCUUCCACAGACAUCCAGGAGAGAUUGGGGAGCUCCAAAAGAAAGAAAAGAGUAUAUGACGAUAUAUGCCAAGAGAUGGUAAAUGCUGGGUUUACUCGUACAACCGACCAAAUCAUUAACAAACUAAAAAAACGUAAGAAGGAGUUCAUUGACAAAAAGGAGAAAAGUAAAAGCGGCAGCCAAUGGAGCAAUAAAACAACUAACUAUGAUGUUAUGGACACUGUGCUGGAACGCCUGCCAGGGAGUCAAUUUACUGAAGCAUUAAAUUCAGCAACAGCCAUGCUUGACACAAAUGUGGAAUCGCUGUCUUCUGCAGCUGAUCUUGACUCUUCACUUGAGGAGGUGCUGGAUCAAGCUGAACCAUCCUUCAGCUCUUCUCAAUUCCAACCAAGAAAGUCUCUGCGAACAACCAGAAUAAAGAAGAAAGAUUCAAACCAGGAGCUGCUGGAAUACUUGAAAACUGCUGAUGAAAGGUUUAUGGCACACGCCAAAGAACUUAAUACUGCAAUUCUUAAUAAAAUGGAUGAAGCUACGAAUUCUAUGCUGGGACUAUUGGGACGCAUGGUGGCGCUAAUGGAGGAACAGCAGGGAAUCAAGCCAUGAACACAGGAUUCCUUUUGUGCAUUUUAUUCUCAUUUGCAUACUACUUACAUUUCAAAGUCAAAGCAAAACCAAAAUUGAUCCUUAAGUUACUUUCUUAAUAUACAUUCCAGGUCUUCUUUGGAAUUAUUGUUUUGUACACGUUAUUACAGCAGAACUUUUAUUAACCUGUCAUCAAAAUGUAAUAACUUGCUCUUCCCAUGAAAUUACUUUUUAUGCUUGACAACAUCAACUCCUCCCCUCCAAACACCCGUCAUAUAGAGAGCAUGACCAGCUUCACAUUGAAAAGGUGUAGCAAACCCAGAUGUGUUUGACAGGAGUGAAGGUAAAGUUAGAGGCUUCUAACUUCUACCUACAUCACAUUAACCGUGAAUAAGCUGUUUUCUUGUGUUUGUUGUAUUUGUGAAAUUUCAGUGAUUCAGGUUAAACUAUUCAGACACUUUUGAGGCCGACCUCAAACUCCCUUCAUGACUUUGAUUAAAAGGCCACAGUUGGAAGACAGCACAGUUGACGUCGAUGUCAACGAGCGUUCAUCAUGCACCAUAAAGGACCCAACAGAUUUCACAGACAUACUUGAUGUCAGUCAAGAAGACAAUGAAAAGUAAGUCCAUCCAGUUGUUGUAGGCAGUAAGCUGGCAUUAGCAAUUAACGCUUUUUCCAGAAUUGUUGUAAAUCGCAAUGUAACUCUCUUAUGCGCAUUUUGCUUGAUCAGAAUCAUCUUUUUAUCACUUGGUAGACUAUUUUCACAGUAACACAUUUCUGUGUUGUUGUUGUUCAUCUGUUCUACAGGCACAAGAGCUUGACUGAGCCCUCACCACCAGAUUUCUUGGAUUAAAGUUUGUUAGUUUGCUCCGAAGAACAUGGCAUUAUCUUGCAUUCUAUAGCUUCUACACAAAGACAUUGGCAUCACUUAUAUACAUUCUAGCUGACAUAGCCUGAAAAAUUACUGUAGUACUGGUUGAGUCAAUUCCCUUUCCUUUUUCCCUUCCUAAAAUGUGUACUGAUAGAUUGUUCCUCGCUGGUCUUUGCCACAAUGAAAAAGUGUUAGUAAGAUGGCUAGAGUCCAAAAGGGAGGAAUUUCCCUUCUCCUCAUAAAAACAGCAUCAACAUACAGUAUUUUGGAUAAUGGAAGUUCCCUUUCAUGGGAACUUCAAACUGUGUCCUCUAGGUUUCCCCAUAGAGGAUGCAGUGUCUCCUUCCCUACUCAGGGAACCAUGGUUACAUGAGUAACCUGAGACGUUCCCUUUCAUAGGGAACUUCGAACUGCGUUCUCUAGGGGUCGCUAUGGGGAAACCUAGAGGACGCAGUGUCUCGUUCCCUACUCAGGGAACCAUGGUUACAUAAGUAACCCGAGAUGUUUCUUUGCAGAAUUGUAUUUUGUUACAAAUGCUGUUAACUUUAAACAAUUGUUACAUUUGUCUACUUUGUGUGUUGUUACUUUAUUCCUAAUCUUGUUCUUGUCUACUUUGUACUUUACAAAUUAACAG